rnacentral:rRNA from 1 species
ACACCGGCAGCUCAAGUGGUAGCCGCUUUUAUUGGGCCUAAAGCGUCCGUAGCCGGUCUGAUAAGUCUCUGGUGAAAUCCCGCAGCUUAACUGUGGGAAUUGCUGGAGAUACUAUCAUGACUCGAGGUCGGGAGAGGCUGGAGGUACUCCCAGGGGAGGGGUGAAAUCCUGUAAUCCUGGGAGGACCACCUGUGGGGAAGGCGUCCAGCUGGAACGAACCUGACGGUGAGGGACGAAAGCCAGGGGCGCGAACCGGAUUAGAUACCCGGGUAGUCCUGGCCGUAAACGAUGUGGACUUGGUGUUGGGAUGGCUUCGAGCUGCCCCAGUGCCGAAGGGAAGCUGUUAAGUCCACCGCCUGGGAAGUACGGCCGCAAGGCUGAAACUUAAAGGAAUUGACGGGG